GGCUCUGUAGCUCAGUCGGUAGAGCAGUGGCCUGAAGAGCCUCGUGUCAGCCGGUUCGAUUCCGCUUGGAGCCA
rnacentral:ncRNA from 14 species